rnacentral:rRNA from 1 species
GACGAACGCUGGCGGCGUGCUUAACACAUGCAAGUCGAACGGAAAGGCCCUGCUUUUGUGGGGUGCUCGAGUGGCGAACGGGUGAGUAACACGUGAGUAACCUGCCCUUGACUUUGGGAUAACUUCAGGAAACUGGGGCUAAUACCGGAUAGGAGCUCCUGCUGCAUGGUGGGGGUUGGAAAGUUUCGGCGGUUGGGGAUGGACUCGCGGCUUAUCAGCUUGUUGGUGGGGUAGUGGCUUACCAAGGCUUUGACGGGUAGCCGGCCUGAGAGGGUGACCGGCACCAUGGGGACUGAGAUACGGCCCAGACUCCAACGGGAGGAAGCGGUGGGAAAUAUUGCACAAUGGGCGAAGCCUGAUGCAGCAACGCCGCGUGCGGGAUGACGGCCUUCGGGUUGUAAACCGCUUUCGCCUGUGACGAAGCGUGAGUGACGGUAAUGGGUAAAGAAGCACCGGCUAACUACGUG